rnacentral:rRNA from 1 species
GAUGAACGCUGGCGGCGUGCCUAAUACAUGCAAGUCGAGCGAACAGACGAGGAGCUUGCUCCUCUGAUGUUCGCGGCGGACGGGUGAGUAACACGUGGAUAACCUACCUAUAAGACUGGGAUAACUUCGGGAAACCGGAGCUAAUACCGGAUAACAUGUUGAACCGCAUGGUUCAACAGUGAAAGACGGUCUUGCUGUCACUUAUAGAUGGAUCCGCGCCGCAUUAGCUAGUUGGUAAGGUAACGGCUUACCAAGGCAACGAUGCGUAGCCGACCUGAGAGGGUGAUCGGCCACACUGGAACUGAGACACGGUCCAGACUCCUACGGGAGGCAGCAGUAGGGAAUCUUCCGCAAUGGGCGAAAGCCUGACGGAGCAACGCCGCGUGAGUGAAGAAGGUCUUCGGAUCGUAAAACUCUGUUAUUAGGGAAGAACAAAUGUGUAAGUAACUAUGCACGUCUUGACGGUACCUAAUCAGAAAGCCACGGCUAACUACGUG